GAUGAACGCUGGCGGCGUGCCUAAUACAUGCAAGUCGAGCGAACAGGCGAGGAGCUUGCUCCUCUGACGUUAGCGGCGGACGGGUGAGUAACACGUGGAUAACCUACCUAUAAGACUGGGAUAACUUCGGGAAACCGGAGCUAAUACCGGAUAAUAUAUUGAACCGCAUGGUUCAAUAGUGAAAGACGGUUUUGCUGUCACUUAUAGAUGGAUCCGCGCCGCAUUAGCUAGUUGGUAAGGUAACGGCUUACCAAGGCAACGAUGCGUAGCCGACCUGAGAGGGUGAGCGGCCACACUGGAACUGAGACACGGUCCAGACUCCUACGGGAGGCAGCAGUAGGGAAUCUUCCGCAAUGGGCGAAAGCCUGACGGAGCAACGCCGCGUGAGUGAUGAAGGUCUUCGGAUCGUAAAACUCUGUUAUUAGGGAAGAACAAAUGUGUAAGUAACUAUGCACGUCUUGACGGUACCUAAUCAGAAAGCCACGGCUAACUACGUG
rnacentral:rRNA from 1 species